rnacentral:rRNA from 1 species
CUGAGGACGGGGAUAACCCCGGGAAACUGGGGAUAAACCCCGAUAGGUCAUAGCUCCUGGAAUGGGCUAUGGCUCAAAUCUAUAUGGCCUUAGGAUGGGACUGCGUCCGAUCAGGUUGUUGGUGGGGUAAUGGCCCACCAAGCCUAUAACCGGUACGGGCUCUGAGAGGAGGAGCCCGGAGAUGGGCACUGAGACAAGGGCCCAGGUCCUAUGGGGCGCAGCAGGCGCGAAACCUCCGCAAUGGGCGAAAGCCCGACGGGGUCAGUCCGAGUGGCUCCUGCUAAAGGAGUCUUUUGCCAGCUGUAAACAGGCUGGUGAAUAAGGGGUGGGCAAGCCUGGUGUCAGCCGCCGCGGUAAUACCAGCACCCCGAGUGGUCGGGAUGAUUAUUGGGCCUAAAGCAUCCGUAGCCGGUGUAGUAAGUCCUCCGUUAAAUCCACCUGCUCAACAGGUGGGCUGCGGAGGAUACUGCUACACUAGGAGGCGGGAGAGGCGAGGGGUAUUCCACGGGUAGGGGUAAAAUCCUCUGAUCCGUGGAGGACCACCAGUGGCGAAGGCGUCUCGCCAGAACGCGCUCGAC